UCCCUUGUGGCUCAGCUGGUAAAGAAUCCGCCUGCAAUGCGGGAGACCUGGGUUCGAUCCCUGGGUGGGGAA
rnacentral:tRNA from 1 species